CCUACGGGUGACAGCAGUGGGGAAUAUUGCGCAAUGGGGGCAACCCUGACGCAGCAACGCCGCGUGAUUGAAGAAGGCCUUCGGGUUGUAAAGAUCUUUUAUCAGGGACGAAAAAUGACGGUAGCUGAAGAAUAAGCUCCGACUAUAUACGUUCCAGCAGCCGCGGUAAUACGUAGGGAGCAAGCGUUAUCCGGAUUUACGGGGUGUAAAGGGCGUGGAGGCGGGCUUGUAAGUCAGAAGGGAAAUCUUGGGGCUUAACCCCCAAACUGCUUUUGAAACUGGGGGUCUUGAGUGAUGGAGAGGCAGGCGGAAUUCCUAGUGUAGCGGUGAAAUGCGUAGAUAUUGGGAGGAACACCAGUGGCGAAGGCGGCCUGCUGGACAUUAACUGACGCUGAGGCGCGAAAGCGUGGGGAGCAAACAGGAUUAGAUACCCUAGUAGUC
rnacentral:rRNA from 1 species